GGUCCCUUAGCUCAGUUGAUUAGAGCUCUUGACUCAUAAUCGAGAUGUCGGUAGGUUUGAAUCCUCCAGGGACCACCA
rnacentral:tRNA from 1 species